rnacentral:rRNA from 1 species
UACGUAGGGGGCUAGCGUUGUCCGGAUUUAUUGGGCGUAAAGAGCGUGUAGGCGGCCAGGUAGGUCUGCUGUGAAAACUCGAGGCUCAACCUCGAGACGUCGGCGGAAACCAUCUGGCUAGAGUCCGGAAGAGGAGAGUGGAAUUCCUGGUGUAGCGGUGAAAUGCGUAGAUAUUCGCAAGAACACCAGUGGCGAAGGCGGCUCACUGGCCCGAUACUGAACGCUGAGGCACGAAAGCCAGGGGAGACGAACGGG